UAGUAACGUGUGGAAUUUUCAUAGUGAUUUUUUUUUCUUGCAAAAGCUAAAUGUUGAAGAAAAAUGCAGGAAACUGGCAAUUAGAACUAGUUACAGGAAGCUUAGGAAGGCAAAAAGUCUUUAUUUCACAUUCCUCAACAGGCCUCCUAAAAAAAAUGUGCAUAUGCUGAUUCUCAACACUUCUUUACUAAUAAAUGGUGUUUGCAAAAUGAGUCAGAAUUUCUACAUGUUAUAAUUAUAUUUAGAUGUGAACUGCAUGUUUUUCAUACUCACCAAUAUUUUAUUAGUCCACAUCUCUGCCUCAAUUUAUUUAUUUUUAUUUUUUUUUUGACACAGAGUCUCACUCUGUCACCCAUGAUGGAGUACAGUGGUACGAUAUUGGCUCACUGUAGCCUCGACCUCCUAGGCUCAAGU
rnacentral:lncRNA from 10 species